rnacentral:lncRNA from 1 species
UAAUGCCUUCUUUCUGGCAAGGGGCUUAUUGGAAAGCAUUGUCUUGUUCUUGAAGCCUUGAAGACCCGGUUUUACGUUUAUUAAAACGUAUUCUUUCUUUCCUCUUCCCACGUAACAGGCCCCCUUCCUAACCCUCAUCCCCACCUUCAAGGGUUAAAGCAGUGUUUGCUCAGCAGCCAGUAUUUGGAUAGCACCUGGAAGCCCAUUGUGAUAUGGCUGUACUACUAGAGUACUCCAGUGGACACAGGGACGAGCACAUUCUCCAGAUCCUUAUUAUGGCUCAGUGUGAUCUUCAUAGACAUCAUAUUUGUCCCUCCUUUGACAUUUCUAUUUCCAGUCACUACAGUAACUGUAUACAAAAAAAUAA